AUAACAUGAGAUUAUCAAGAAAAGAAACAAGAAAUGAAACCUUCAAAUGAAUGGACAACAAGCCAAGGGACAAUCUCAGGUAGACAGUUUCUAUGGGGCGUAGGCCUUCCAAAAAGUAAUGGAGGCAUGCAAAGGUUUCCUCGGGCCAAACAAAAAUGGACCCUCAAGUGCAAAGGAAGAAGGGAGAUUGACUACAAGACCCACCCAUUGAGAACGAGUGAAAGUUAGCUUUAGUGAUCCAACAGUGUCGAGUGGAAGGGUGGUUGCUCAACAAAUAAAAGUUACUCUAGGGAUAAUAGGUUGAUCUUCCCCAAGAGUUCACAUCAACAUGAGGUUUUGGCACCUCGAUGUCAACUCUUUUCCACCUGGGGAAGUAGUACGUUCCAAGGGUUGGGUUGUUUACCCAUUAAAGUGGUAUGUGAACUAGGUUCAGAACAUCGUGAAAUAGUUUGGUCCAUAUCCAAUGCAGGCAUUAG
rfam:Picea glauca, whole genome shotgun sequence.